rnacentral:rRNA from 1 species
UAAACGAUGUCGACUUGGAGGUUGUGCCCUUGAGGCGUGGCUUCCGGAGCUAACGCGUUAAGUCGACCGCCUGGGGAGUACGGCCGCAAGGUUAAAACUCAAAUGAAUUGACGGGGGCCCGCACAAGCGGCGGAGCAUGUGGUUUAAUUCGAUGCAACGCGAAGAACCUUACCUGGCCUUGACAUCCAGAGAACUUAGCAGAGAUGCUUUGGUGCCUUCGGGAACUCUGAGACAGGUGCUGCAUGGCUGUCGUCAGCUCGUGUUGUGAAAUGUUGGGUUAAGUCCCGCAACGAGCGCAACCCUUAUCCUUUGUUGCCAGCGGUUCGGCCGGGAACUCAAAGGAGACUGCCGGUGAUAAACCGGAGGAAGGUGGGGAUGACGUCAAGUCAUCAUGGCCCUUACGGCCAGGGCUACACACGUGCUACAAUGGCGCAUACAAAGAGAAGCGACCUCGCGAGAGCAAGCGGACCUCAUAAAGUGCGUCGUAGUCCGGAUUGGAGUCUGCAACUCGACUCCAUGAAGUCGGAAUCGCUAGUAAUCGUAGAUCAGAAUGCUACGGUGAAUACGUUCCCGGGCCUUGUACACACCGCCCGUCACACCAUGGGAGUGGGUUGCAAAAGAAGUAGGUAGCUUAACCUUCGGGAGGGCGCUUACCACUUUGUGAUUCAUGACUGGGGUGAAGUCGUAACAAGGUAACCAAGGGCGAAUUCUG